CGUCCCCGCCCGUCCUGCCAGAGGAAGGCCCUGGCGACAGCCUCCCGUCGCACACGGCCACCAACUUCUCCAGCCCCAUCUCACCGCCCAGCCCCCUCACGCCCAAGUACGGUAGCUUCAUCAGCAGGGACAGCUCCCUGACGGGCAUCAGCGAGUUCGCCUCAUCCUUUGGCACGGCCAACAUAGACAGCGUCCUCAUUGACUGCUUCACGGGCGGCCACGACAGCUACCUGGCCAUCCCCGGCAGCGUCCCCAGGCCGCCCAUCAGCGUCAGCUUCCCCCGGGCCCCCGACGGCUUCUACCGCCAGGACCGUGGACUUCUGGAGGGCAGAGAGGGUGCCCUGACCUCCGGCUGUGACGGGGACAUUCUGAGGGUGGGCUCCUUGGACACCUCUAAGCCGAGGUCGUCAGGGAUUCUGAAGAGACCCCAGACCUUGGCCAUCCCGGACGCAGCCGGAGGAGGGGGUCCCGAAACCAGCAGGAGAAGGAAUGUGACCUUCAGUCAGCAGGUGGCCAAUAUCCUGCUCAACGGCGUGAAGUACGAGAGCGAGCUGACGGGCUCCAGCGAGCGCGUGGAGCAGCCUCUGUCCGUGGGGCGCCUCUGCUCCACCAUCUGCAACAUGCCCAAGGCGCUACGCACACUCUGCGUCAACCACUUCCUGGUCUCUUUCCGCUGUUGAGUGGUUGAACAUUU
rnacentral:sRNA from 1 species